rnacentral:lncRNA from 1 species
UCAAUUUGAUUAUUGAGAAAUUGGAUUUAGGUUAAUUAAAUGAUUUACUUAUAAAGUUAACCACAUGAUUGGAGGUGUCUUCUCUAUACCUAUCAUUUAUCAUUUGUCAAAUGUCUUUAGUUUUUACUUUCAUGUACUUAAUUUUUUUGGCUUUUUCUAAUCAUUUAUGGCCUUUUCUAGUCAUAUAUGCCUUUGUACAGCCCUUUUGUAACUUACUUUAUUUUUCUUUCUUUUCUUGAGUUUUACUCUUCCCAUGUCCAAUUGAGUAAUGGCAAAAGCUAAUUGGAGUACAAGGCAUAAUUCAUCUCAUUUUAUCAAUAUUAGAGAAUUUACUUGUUAGUAUUUUACUAUAUGCUUCUUAAGUA